UACGUAGGGUGCGAGCGUUAAUCGGAAUUACUGGGCGUAAAGCGUGCGCAGGCGGUGAUGUAAGACAGUUGUGAAAUCCCCGGGCUCAACCUGGGAAUGGCAGUGGAAACUAGGGGACUGGAAUCUGGCAGAGGGGGGUGGAAUGCCGCGUGUAGCAGUGAAAUGCGUAGAGAUGCGGCGGAACACCGAUGGCGAAGGCAGCCCCCUGGGCUGAGAUUGACGCUCAGGCACGAAAGCGUGGGGAGCAAACAGG
rnacentral:rRNA from 1 species